rnacentral:rRNA from 1 species
UACGGAGGGUGCGAGCGUUAUACGGAAUCACUGGGUUUAAAGGGUGCGUAGGCGGCUCGGUAAGUCAGUUGUGAAAGCCCCUGGCUUAACGUGGGAGGUGCGAUUGAUACUGUCGAGCUUGAAUCGGGAUGAGGCAGGCGGAAUGUGGCAUGUAGCGGUGAAAUGCAUAGAGAUGCCAAAGAACACCGAUUGCGAAGGCAGCCUGCUGGGCCUGGAUUGACGAUGAGGCACGAAAGAGUGGGGAGCAAACAGG